GUUUCAAUAGGUCUUGUGCAUAAAACCAUCACCUCUAGAGUUGGUGCUAGCUAAACAAUUCCAGCUUCUGUAGUGCUGUUUUCUGUUAAUGGAUGAUAAAAAGUUGUUUCUCCCAUCCUCCCAGUGUUUGCUUUUAAGUUUUCUUUGCUAGAAAAUCCUGGAGCUCUGGCAUGCCUGAGAUCCAUAAAAUUCUAGCCUCCGUUGCUGCUGAAAUGGUGGGCAUAGAUGGCACACCAUACUACAGAAAAGGAUUAACUAAGAUGGAACACACUACGGAAGGAUGCAGUGGACUGCAGAUGCUGGUAGAUGCAUUCACUGCUGUUUUUGUGCUUGAAGCUGUAUAGUUAUUGACUGUUAGCUGGAAUAAAACCAAGAACAUUGCUGCUGCUACGUCAGUCAGUUUUUCGUUCCCCCCCGCCACACCAUUGGGAUGUAACACUGAGAUCAUCCCUUAAAGCAAAAUCAAAAAAGGAGGACGCUACUUGGUUAGUUCAUCUACCCAUAUUUUGACCCCUAGUGCUAAAAUUCCUUUGUUUUCUGGGUAUUAACUCCUAAUAUUAAUUGAGUGAAUCUGUGCAAACUGCAUCUAGUUGUGUAUGAGAGACUGAAAAUAAUGGAUAAUUAGGAAAACAAAGACAGGAAGAGAGGAAGUAUGUAAUGUGACACAGGACAUACUGAAAUAGCUUUUGAAAGAUGGUGAGAUGAAUCAGCCAUAAUUUAAUAGUGAUGGAAAGAAUGUACUUGCCUGACUGGCAAUUAGUAGCUCUGGGGGCAGCGUGUAUUUUGUGUGCUGCUCUUGGUGCAGUUGAUUUCAAAAAGUUAGGCUUGGAUUUCAGAUAAAUUUGUUCCUGCUGGUCCUGUAGGUGUUUGGGCUCUGCUUUGGAGGAGUGCUUGAACAAUAUUGUUAGUUAAAUGCAUUACCCUUACCUGGUCUUUGGAUGUUUUGCUGCUGAGUCCAAUCAUAGGCGAAAAGAACUGUUUGAUAAUAACUGGUUAUUGGUAGUCUGUAGAAAUAUAUUCUCCUUAACCUCAGUAUUUCAAGAUGGUACCAAAGUUAAGAGUCUUGGAAUUGCAUUUUAAGAAUGCCUUUUUGAAGAAAAGGCCUUGUGCAGACAUGGUAGUUAUGUAAUAUGUGCUUUCCCUUUUUCCUGUGUACCAUGACUAGCAUAUACCCUUGUUGCCACAAGGUUUCAGUGUUUCUUCAAAAGAGUAGCUUCACCACUAGGAUCUUGGUUAGAAUGCAGCAGCAAUAUUGCUCACUGGGGGGGGGCCUUGUAGUCAACAGUUUUAUAGUAAUUGAGUUUGUUGAUUAAUUAGAACUGAGAUUUUUUUUCUAAUUUUGAAAGUUACGCUUUUAGUCCUUAUGACUGAGCAGCUACCAAGAAUGAGCUGAAUAUAAACCAUAUUACUGGGUCUUCCUAAUUGUAAUGUGAGUGUUCCCAUUCACCUAUUUGGAUUGACUGAAGUUUUCUGAUAGAAAUUAAAGUAAAAAUCAGUUGUUUCCUAUUUGAAUAAUACUUGGCUAAUCGUUUGUGCCAAAAAUAAAAGCUUAAUAUACUAAUCCCAAACUCUCUCCUGUAUUUUUUAGUGUAAAAAAUGUCCAGCUUCCUUACAAUAGCUAGCAGGCUCAGCUUCUACAAUGCAGUUAUAAAUUGUUAGUAUGAAAACCUCAAGCAUGCUGGGAGUUAAGAAGUAGAGUAAAACUGAAUUUUAAUAUCAAAAUAGCACCAAGGAUCAUGAUCCAAGUGGGAAUGUGAAAACCUGUCUGUCACUCACUUGGUGCUUCUGCAGAAUUUUCAUUCUGGCACAAAGCAGGCUGGCAUGUAGACAAACUUGAGUCCAGAAUACAUAGGGCUUUGCUUACUGGCUAAAGCAUUAAAGCUGUAAAUAUUGCAAUGUAAAUGCUCACUGGAGUUUUCCUUUAGGCCUAAAGUGUUCUCGUUCCCUGGUGAGAUUCCCUUUCAAAGGACUGACUUAUUUCUGUAGCAGAAAUGCGUUCACAGGAAUGGCUUGUUUUUCCAGAAGAGUCUUUGGCAACCGAUCAUACUGCUCCUUCUGCUGUACCUCCUGAAGGUGUUUGGCUUUUACCAAGUAAGGAUGCAGACUGAUAAAGGAACCUGCUGUAGGAUCAGAAACUCAUACUAGCCCUUCCUCCUGAGUGCAGCUCCUUGCCUGAAACUCAGCAUUCCAAAGGUAGGUCCUAGGUUUAUGUAGCAUCAUAAUGUCCUACCCUCUGAGAAUGUGGGGUAAUUUUGGACUUGCUACAGACUUGAUGGAUGCAAGCAUUAUUGUGCAUACCUAGAGUCCCAUUGAGCUGGAUUUCAUUGAGCUAGUCUGAGUCAGUUAUAAAGAGACUUGCAAAAAUCAAGGUUCCCUCUGUUAAAUUAUAUAAUCUAAUCCUAAAAUUAAUUGUAGGAUGAUGUAUCAAAAGAUAUUGGCAUCUAGGAUGGCCUCUGGUGGGCAAAGAUGCUGUAAGUGGCUACUUUGGUGCUGUCUUAGGAAAGAAAGUAGUGUGCAUGCUUCAGCUCUGAGUGCUGGGGGUGGGCUGUAAGAGCACAGGUCUGCAUCUAGUCUCCUGUGGCACUGUACUUGUAGUGAAUGUUCAGGGCUGCAGAAGGGAUUUCUUUUAAAUCUACUUUUUGUGAAAUCCUACUGCAUAUCCGACACUGAGCUACAACUUUGUCCAAGGGAACUUAGCAGGGAGAGCAAGCAAGUUUUAAAGGAGGGGCUCCACACACACACACACACACACACACACACACACACGCUCUCUCUCUCUCUCUCUCUCUCUGUGUGGGAAUCAGAGCUAUAAGAACUCACUCAGAUUGUGCCUGUGUGUGCACCACACUUUGUCCUUUCCUUUUCAACAACCUGCCUUAUCUUAUGUGCUUGGUAGGGGUGAUAAACCAGAAGAAAGGAUCUUGACAGGAAGGGAAAGACUGGGAAAUUAAAUCUGGGGAAAUCCUAGUGAAACAUUCUUCCUGCCCAAAAGAGCAAGUUUAAAUUUUUUGAAAUAGUUUGGAAAGACAAACUUGAGACAGUUUAAAGGACUGGAUUUUAGAAAGGCAGACUCAUUCACCUUCUGAAAAUUAAGCCCGUGAGGCCACCUGCCUUAGUUUGACAUAAAAAAUAAGAAUAGAUGCAGCCUUUGUUCGGGUUCAGCUCUUGAUCAUCUGCCAAGCUAAAUUAUUACAAAUAAAAUCACAAGCACUAGGGAGUAUGGUUAGAGUGUUUAUUCUGAUUUCUUGUCCCUACCAGUCUUAGUACACACAUAGGAGGCAGAGUUAUACAGUCCCAAACCUUUAUUCUUCAAGAGCUGCAAAGAGACAAACAGGCAAAUGUUCCCUCUCACUUGAAAAUUAGUGCACACUACCUCAUUGUUUGUUUGGAGGAAAAGAUGUAACAUGUCUCAAGGAAUCUCAGAAGAGAUUGAAAUAAUAGCAUGUUAAAAGUGCUAGUUGAGAGGAUGGGAAAGUAGAAAUGAGGCCACAGUAUGUCAUGUCGCCAUUGAUUUUAAGCUGUAGCCCACUGGGGGGUCAGCUAGUGUCUCUUAGUUCAGAGGCCUUAGGUUUUCAUUUAACUAGGGAUUGUUUAGGCUUCUUAUUUUUUCUAGCCCAAGCUCCUCCAGUUCCACCUACUUUAUCUUUUACCUUGAGUGGUUGUAUUCUUCGUUAGCUGAGGGGGGUGGGGUGGUAUUUCUCUGACCCCUUUCUUUAUGAAGCAUCAUCUGUAGGAAUGUAGUAAGCUUAAAUUUGUUACUUUCUGGAAGUAGCACAAGGGGUAAAAGCUUUAAAAAAAAAAAAAAAAAA